rnacentral:rRNA from 1 species
UAGGGAAUAUUGCAAAAUGGGCGAAAGCCCGAUGCAGCAACGCCGCGUGGGCGAUGAAGGCCUUCGGGUCGUAAAGCCCUUUUUGAGGGGAUGAGGAAGGACAGUACCCUCAGAAUAAGCCUCGGCUAACUACGUGCCAGCAGCCGCGGUAAAACGUAGGAGGCGAGCGUUAUCCGGAUUUACUGGGCGUAAAGCGCGUGCAGGCGGAUUGGAGAGUUGGAUGUGAAAGCUCCCGGCUUAACUGGGAGAGGUCGUUCAAUACUUCCAGUCUUGAGUGCAGUAGAGNGAAGUGGAAUUCCGGGUGUAGUGGUGAAAUGCGUAGAUAUCCGGAGGAACACCAGUGGCGGAAGCGGCUUCCUGGACUGUAACUGACGCUCAGACGCGAAAGCUAGGGUAGCAAACG